CGUGUGUUCUUGGGCGAAUAACACUUGAAUGUUUGACUGUUAUUGCUUGAGAAUACACGUG
rnacentral:pre_miRNA from 1 species